AACGAACGCUGGCGGCAGGCUUAACACAUGCAAGUCGAACGCCCCGCAAGGGGAGUGGCAGACGGGUGAGUAACGCGUGGGAAUCUACCCAGUUCUACGGAACAACUGAGGGAAACUUCAGCUAAUACCGUAUACGCCCUACGGGGGAAAGAUUUAUCGGAAUUGGAUGAGCCCGCGUUGGAUUAGCUAGUUGGUGAGGUAACGGCUCACCAAGGCGACGAUCCAUAGCUGGUCUGAGAGGAUGAUCAGCCACACUGGGACUGAGACACGGCCCAGACUCCUACGGGAGGCAGCAGUGGGGAAUAUUGGACGAUGGGCGCAAGCCUGAUUCAGCCAUGCCGCGUGAGUGAUGAAGGCCUUAGGGUUGUAAAGCUCUUUCAGUGGGGACGAUAAUGACGGUACCCACAGAAGAAGCCCCGGCUAACUUCGUGCCAGCCGCCGCCGUAAAAC
rnacentral:rRNA from 1 species